CCACCCUUCAGUAUAAAGAUCCACCCUUCCUCUUCAGUCACAUUGACAUAAGAAUCACCCAUGGAGAAUUUCCCCUUUUCGCAGCAUUUGUUAUUUCCUUCAGUAUACUCCCGUGGAUCCUCGAUCUUCUGCGAAAAAUCCCUCCAAAGACUUCUUCACUUUUGAUUCCGGAAUCCGAGCCGCCACUGACUUCCGCACCUUCAGAGCCGCUGCCGGAGAUUGAUUACUACUUCCCCACAUCAAAAAAUUCAUCUUUCCUCCCACAAAAAAUUCUCUUUCCAAAAAACGUUAGCAAAAAUAUGCAGUAGAUCAAAACAGUCUUCAAAUCCCUGAUGAAAUG
rnacentral:lncRNA from 1 species